rnacentral:rRNA from 1 species
AGAGUUUGAUCCUGGCUCAGGACGAACGCUGGCGGCGUGCCUAACACAUGCAAGUCGAGCGAGUGAAUCUCCUUCGGGAGUGAAGCUAGCGGCGGACGGGUGAGUAACACGUGGGCAACCUGCCUCAUAGAGGGGAAUAGCCUUUCGAAAGGAAGAUUAAUACCGCAUAAGAUUGUAGCUUCGCAUGAAGUAGCAAUUAAAGGAGCAAUCCGCUAUGAGAUGGGCCCGCGGCGCAUUAGCUAGUUGGUGAGGUAACGGCUCACCAAGGCGACGAUGCGUAGCCGACCUGAGAGGGUGAUCGGCCACAUUGGGACUGAGACACGGCCCAGACUCCUACGGGAGGCAGCAGUGGGGAAUAUUGCACAAUGGGGGAAACCCUGAUGCAGCAACGCCGCGUGAGUGAUGACGGCCUUCGGGUUGUAAAGCUCUGUCUUCAGGGACGAUAAUGACGGUACCUGAGGAGGAAGCCACGGCUAACUACGUGCCAGCAGCCGCGGUAAUACGUAGGUGGCGAGCGUUGUCCGGAUUUACUGGGUUUAAAGGGUGCGUAGGCGGUUUAUUAAGUUAGUGGUUAAAUAUUUGAGCUAAACUCAAUUGUGCCAUUAAUACUGGUAAACUGGAGUACAGACGAGGUAGGCGGAAUAAGUUAAGUAGCGGUGAAAUGCAUAGAUAUAACUUAGAACUCCGAUAGCGAAGGCAGCUUACCAGACUGUAACUGACGCUGAUGCACGAGAGCGUGGGUAGCGAACAGGAUUAGAUACCCUGGUAGUCCACGCCGUAAACGAUGCUCACUGGUUCUGUGCGAUAUAUUGUACGGGAUUAAGCGAAAGUAUCAAGUGAGCCACCUGGGGAGUACGUCGGCAACGAUGAAACUCAAAGGAAUUGACGGGGGCCCGCACAAGCGGAGGAACAUGUGGUUUAAUUCGAUGAUACGCGAGGAACCUCACCUGGGUUUAAAUGGGAAAUGUCGUAUUUGGAAACAGAUAUUCUCUUCGGAGCGUUUUUCAAGGUGCUGCAUGGUUGUCGUCAGCUCGUGCCGUGAGGUGUCGGGUUAAGUCCCAUAACGAGCGCAACCCUUACCGUUAGUUGCUAGCAUGUAAUGAUGAGCACUCUAACGGGACUGCCACCGUAAGGUGAGAGGAAGGCGGGGAUGACGUCAAAUCAGCACGGCCCUUACACCCAGGGCUACACACGUGUUACAAUGGCCGGUACAGAGGGCCGCUACCAGGUGACUGGAUGCCAAUCUCAAAAGCCGGUCGUAGUUCGGAUUGGAGUCUGUAACCCGACUCCAUGAAGUUGGAUUCGCUAGUAAUCGCGCAUCAGCCAUGGCGCGGUGAAUACGUUCCCGGGCCUUGUACACACCGCCCGUCAAGCCAUGGAAGCCGGGGGUGCCUGAAGUCCGUAACCGCGAGGAUCGGCCUAGGGCAAAACUGGUAACUGGGGCUAAGUCGUAACAAGGUA